rnacentral:snRNA from 1 species
UUAUUUACCUGGCACAGGAGACACCAUCAUCAGGCACGUGGUUUUCCAAGGUCAAGGCUCAUGCCCUGCACUCUGGGUGUGCUGACCCCUUGCGAUUUCCCCAAAUGCAGGGAAAACAGCUGCUAAGGC